UGGAGACCCAGCAAGCGGGAGAGCCGUGGGGCAAACGCGUGGGCGUCGGAUCCCAGAUGGAAGAAUGUCGCACCGAGAUGUGGUUGAGCUGGGAAAACGUGUCCAGGAAGCAGACACUCUGACCGGGCACAAGGCUGGCGGUUCCUCGGACGACUGUGUGAGGCUUCCGCUGCAGACGUCUUAGCAUCUUGCCGGGAGCCUCUGCUGCUCACUUCCCUUCGCUGCAGGGGAGCAGACAGAGAGGCUCGGGUGCUCAGGUGCCCGACGGACAGAGCCCCGGGGACGCGCCAUGUCCCCUGUCGCCAGAGUGAAAAAUCAAGAGUGUCGUGCUCCGCCCAGGGCUCCGUGUCCGCCGCCGGGUGAGUCUCCGGCAGGGGAAUCUGAUGAUGCGGUUAGCUGGGCUUGGGUCACAGAGCCAUCCCAGCUCAGGGGAGGAGCCAGCCCCCACCGCCCAGAACGACGGAGGCGAUGGCGCUCCAGGGAAAAUGCAGGCUCCGUUACUAGAAGGGCGUGGGUUGCGUGCGGAUCCAGCAACGCCAGCGAAUGCCCGUCAUCCUUCUCGUCCCGGAUCACCCGUGUGGCCCUGCCUGCCUCCCCGGGCCUCCUCGGGCUGGACCCCGUCUUCCGUGUCUGCAGGCCACACCCGGCCCGUUCCCCCCGCUGUCCUCCCAGUGUGUGUGUGACACCUGCUCUGUGAGACCAGCUCUCGGGACCUGCAUCUCCACUGGCACCUGCUCUGUGACGCCAGCUCCUGGCACACACGCCCGUGGCUCCCAGGAGUCCCGUUGGCGCUUACUGGGCAGGAGAAUGAAUGACCGAACGGAACUGGACACGAGUCAAGGCAGUUUUCUGCUCAGUGAGCGGUGGUGGAGGGAGUGAACGAGGCCGCCCGCGGGGACAUCCACUGCGGAGGAGGUGGCCUGACCCCGGCCACUGGUCAGGGCCCCCAGGACUGUCCCCAGAUGUGGGGGUGCCCUCUCCUGGGGAGCCCCAGGCUCUUGGCCAUCCUGAUGCUCCGGAAAGAAUUGAAAUAGCAGAGGAGCUGGUUUCUCUCCGGAAUUCCUGGAGUCACAUCUCAUAACUCUGGUGGUUGAGGGUCUGUUUUCAGGCAGCGUCUGCCAGACGCCGGCCAGAAACUGUGUGAGGAGUCCACAAGGCAGGCUCCCGCGGUGGAGUUCUAGAAACUUCUAGAACUCCUCCUCCUCCCAAGCCUUCCUCCUGGCUUUCUGUGGGUCAUGGCAGGGAGUUGGGUAGUUGCGAGUGACCCAGCCGAACUGUCCGUGGAAACCCUCGGGUUAUUUUCGGCACCUGAUAGUAACUUCCAGACACCGAGGUGGUGGGGGGUUCCGUGUUGUCCUACAGCCUCCGACCUCUGACCGGGUUGUGCGAAGCCAGGUCGAGCAGCUGGGGGCCUGCCUGGUCAUCGUCACGCCCUGUACUGGGAGGGCCUCAGAGUGGCCCCGGUCGAGGGCGUGUGCACAUUGGGACCACCUCGGAUCGCCUUGCUUAGACCUGACCGGGUUCCAUCUGUGCGGGCGGUUGACGUGCCGGACCCAGGGCAGGAUCUUUACUCCCUGCUCAGCUUGGCCCCGGCACCCUCCCGUCCGCGAACUGGCCCCAGGACUCUGUCUGACCGAGCGAGCGUGCAGCCCGCCGGCCUUCUGGUUCCUGCACCGGGACGUGCGUGGGUGGGGGCGGCGGCGUCCCCAUAUGCUCUCGAGCCCCCGCGCAGGGUGCCCUUCCAGGGCCGCCUCCCCCUUGAGUGCGUCAUAGAUAAAUAGGCGUCCCAGCUGGAAUGAGGCUUCCGGAACAAGAGGGGACGCGUGGGCAAGCGCACCCUGCGGCCGGCGGGCUGGGCGCACGGGGGACCCUCGCCCGGGGGCCAGGCUGGGGGCAGGGAAGGGGCCUGAGGUGUGAGAACGCAGAGGGCCUUCUCAGGGCGCCCGUCCCGCUGGCCUGAAAUUUUGUCGUGGACGGUCAUUGCCAUGCUCCAGAAUUUAAAAUAAAGUAUUUGAAAUGCCCGCAACUCUUAUGAUUCCCAAGCACCCACAUAAUUAAAGUUGCUUUAGCUACA